CUCACAGCCACCCCGACAAAGGGCAGGUCCUGCAGGACUACUACUGGGAACGGCGCUCCUGCUGUGGAAAAAGCGCAGAAACAUUAUUCCUGCAGGACUUGAGCCCUGAAGUGGUGGCUGAAGAAGCUUUAGGAUUGAGGGGUGCCAGAAGCCACCCACAUCAUUUGACCAUGCCCCCUCUGUUGAAACUCUAUCCUUUGAUAAACUGG